AUUGAACGCUGGCGGCAGGCCUAACACAUGCACGUCGAGCGAGCGGCGGACGGGUGAUUACUGUAUGGGGAUCUGCCCGAUCGAGGGGGAUAACUACUGGAAACGGUGGCUACUACCGCAUACUAUCGGAUGUACCCAUAUGGGAUUAGCUAGUAGGUGGGGUAAAGGCUUACAGAGUCGACCAUCUCUAGCUGGUCUGAGAGGAUGAUAAGCCACACUGGGACUGAGACACGGCCCAGACUCCGACGGGAGGCAGCAGUGGGGAAUAGUGCACAAUGGGCGCAAGCCUGAUGCAGCCAUGCCGCGUGUAGGAAGAAGGCCUUAGGGUUGUAAAGUACUUUCAGCGGGGAGGCGUUACCCGCAGAAGAAGCACCGGCUAACUCCGUGCCAGCAGCCGCGGUAAUUC
rnacentral:rRNA from 1 species